GAAUAACCAAAAUGCCUAUUGUUAUAUUAACAGAACUUCUGGAAAAUGACUUAUGUGAUACUACUACAUAUGAACAUACAAAUUUAAGCAGAUUCUGUAAUUUUUAGAAUACUUUUUAAACUAAUACAUUUGCCUAGAACAUUUGUAAAGCAAUUUACAAUAUAACAAACAAACAAGCUUCAAAUUAACAUGGUUCAUGCAAUAUUCAAACUAACUGCAUAUUUGUUAAUAAAUUUCUAUCAUGAUUCAGCAAAAGAAUGAAAUCUUGCACUUUUUGUUAAGAAAAGUACCUUGACAGCAGCAAGAAAACAAAUAGAAAGGAAAUAGAUCUCUGAGAAGUUGAGUGAGAAACAACAGCAAACCCAAACAAAAAACCAAAACCAGCUUCCAAUAACCUAGAAAUCCAGAAGAUAGUGAGAAAAACCAGUUGGAGUUCUUUUCUAAUAGUGAAAGAGAGAGACUCUAAAGUAGUGCAGAAUCAGUC
rnacentral:lncRNA from 1 species